UACGUAGGGUGCGAGCGUUGUCCGGAAUUAUUGGGCGUAAAGAGCUCGUAGGCGGUUUGUUGCGUCGGCCGUGAAACCUGCAGCUUAACUGUGGGCCUGCGGCCGAUACGGGCAGACUUGAGUUCGGUAGGGGAGACUGGAAUUCCUGGUGUAGCGGUGAAAUGCGUAGAUAUGUGGAGGAACACCGAUGGCCGGAAGGCAGCCCCCUGGGUCAAGACUGACGCUCAUGCACGAAAGCGUGGGGAGCAAACAGG
rnacentral:rRNA from 1 species